GCUGGGUGUGGUGGCGCGUGCCUGUAGUCCCAGCUACUCGGGAGGCUGAGGCAGGAGAAUUGCUGGAACCCAGGAGGCAGAGGGUGUAGUGAGCUGAGAUCGCGCCACUGCACUCUAGCCUGGGCGACAGAGCAAGACUCUGUCUCAA
rnacentral:SRP_RNA from 1 species